rnacentral:lncRNA from 1 species
GAAGCAAAACUAUUAAUCAAGAGAUUAAGAAGAGACUCAGAUAUUAGAAGGAGCAAGAUUCAAAGAACCCACCUCAGCCUUCUCGUGUGAAAACAACUUAGUAAUGUAUCAAGUUCAAGUAGUCAACAUCAAUCAUCACAAAGCUUUUAUGUUUUUUUUUUUAAUAUUCAUAAUCAACUUUUUAAAGCAGAAAAAUAAAUAAAAAUUGAAAAGAUUAGGAAAAUCCCACCGAGGAGAAUUCUUGCCGAAGCAGGGAGCUCAAAUGGGCUCGGUUUUAUUCUAAAUUAAAUAAAUAAAUAAAUAAAACAGCAAAGCAACGCUUUCUCUCUCUAACUUGAAGGAAAGUCGACGAGUUAGAGGGAGAAAGCCAAAAAGAGAAGGAAAAGGCACUUCUUACAAAGCUCUUUGAAACUCUCAAAUCCAAAGGUAAGACCAGUCGAAAUUUUAUUUUUUAUUUUAUAAAAACAGAAAUGAAAAAAAUGAAAAAAAAAUUCUACAAUUAGCAAUUACUUAAAGAAAAGGUUUUAAUAGAUAAGUAAAAGAUAUUUAAUGAAUAAUUUGAUUCAUUUUAAGGUGCGGGGCCCGCAGUUGUAGGUGAAGAGAACUUAGACAACCC